GUUUAAAAAAUAAAAACUAUAAUGAUUGAAAGUUGAACAGAAGAUUAUCUAGAGUUGUGGAACUGGAAUAUAUUCCCGUACCAAAAACCCAACAAUUAUCAUUCUUGUGCAAGGCACUGCACUGCUCUAUGUGCUUGCAUGUCAAUGUCACAUUGAAGCAUAUACCAAGUACAGCAUUAUAAGGAAUAAGAUGUAGCUUCUGCAAUGAGAAAUCCUAUUUCUCUUUGGAUAUGGAGAUUACAUAUAUAUUUUCACUGUUUUUGUUUUGGUUUUGGUCAUAUCAUUUGUUUUUCAGGUACUUAAUAAGAUUCGAUUCAUACCUAGAGAAAUAUUGUUUUUAAGCUAGAAAUUUUUAAACCCUAGCCCCUCUCUCCCAAAAAAACCCUCUUAGAGCCUUUUUCACUUUUAGAGGUGGGGAAGCCACUCUUUCCCCAAAAAACCCUCUUAGAGCCGUUUUCACUUUUAGAGGCGAGGAAGCCACUCUUUCCCAAAAAACCCUCUUAUAGCCGCUUUCACUUUUAGGAGGGAGGAAGCCACUUUCACUUUUAGGAGGGAGGAAGCCACUAUUCUUCCUCCCCUUUCCUCUAUUCUCUUCCUCCCUCUCUUCUCCCCUCAUUUUCAUAGACAAAAGGUGUUCCCUAUUUGUCUUCGUUUUGUUAUGAUUUUCCUCCAACCAUCAUAGGCAGCUACGUCUUGGCGUCAGAUCUCCACUUGCAUUUCGGCGUCGGAUCUCCACCACCAUCUUUUUUGCAGUUUUUUUAUGUUUGGAAUAAGUCACAAAGACUCUUUGGGUUCUCUGUGUAAUUUUCACCUCUCCUUUUGUGAGAGCUUUUCACCUCUUCUUUGUGAGAGCUUUUCAUCCCUCCUUUGUGAGAGCUUUUCAUCUCUCUCUUGUGAGAGUUUUGUUUGUAUUGUUAUGAUUUGAUUUUUUCAAGAUUUAUCUCUUUUUUAUUAUUAUGAAUUUGCAAUCAUAGUUGAAAUGCC
rnacentral:lncRNA from 1 species